rnacentral:rRNA from 1 species
UACAGAGGUCUCGAGCGUUGAGGCGGAAUCACUGGGCUUAAAGCGUGUGUAGGCGGAUGCCUAAGUACCUUGUGAAAUCCCACGGCUUAACCGUGGAACUGCUUGGUAUACUGGGUGUCUUGAGCCACUCAGGGGCGAGCGGAACAAAUGGUGGAGCGGUGAAAUGCGUAGAUAUCAUUUGGAACGCCAAUGGUGAAAACAGCUCGCUGGGGGUGUGCUGACGCUGAGACACGAAAGCCAGGGGAGCGAACGGG